rnacentral:rRNA from 1 species
UACGUAGGGGGCAAGCGUUGUCCGGAUUUAUUGGGCGUAAAGAGCGUGUAGGCGGCCAGGUAGGUCAGCUGUGAAAACUCGAGGCUCAACCUCGAGACGCCGGUUGAAACCAUCUGGCUAGAGUCCGGAAGAGGAGAGUGGAAUUCCUGGUGUAGCGGUGAAAUGCGCAGAUAUCAGGAAGAACACCCGUGGCUAAGGCGGCUCUCUAGUACGGUACUGACGCUGAGACGCGAAAGCGUGGGGAGCGAACAGGAUAGAU